UACGUAGGGGGCUAGCGUUGUCCGGAAUCAUUGGGCGUAAAGAGCUCGUAGGCGGCUUGUCGCGUCGUCCGUGAAAACUUGGGGCUCAACCCCAAGCUUGCGGUCGAUACGGGCAGGCUCGAGUUCGGUAGGGGAGACUGGAAUUCCUGGUGUAGCGGUGAAAUGCGCAGAUAUCAGGAGGAACACCGGUGGCGAAGGCGGGUCUCUGGGCCGAUACUGACGCUGAGGAGCGAAAGCGUGGGGAGCGAACAGG
rnacentral:rRNA from 1 species